UGAGGGAUGACUACGGAAAUUGUGGACCUC
rnacentral:piRNA from 1 species